AUACGAAGGGGGCUAGCGUUGUUCGGAAUCACUGGGCGUAAAGCGCGCGUAGGUGGAUCAAUUAGUUGAGGGUGAAAUCCCGGGGCUCAACCUCGGAACCGCCUUCAAUACUGUUGAUCUUGAGACCGAGAGAGGUGAGUGGAAUUCCUAGUGUAGAGGUGAAAUUCGUAGAUAUUAGGAAGAACACCAGUGGCGAAGGCGGCUCACUGGCUCGGUACUGACGCUGAGGUGCGAAAGCGUGGGGAGCAAACAGGAUUAGAAACCCGAGUAGUCC
rnacentral:rRNA from 1 species